GAUGAACGCUGGCGGCGUGCCUAAUACAUGCAAGUCGAGCGAACGGACGAGAAGCUUGCUUCUCUGUUGUUAGCAACGGAUGGGUGAGUAACACGUGACUAACCUACCUAUAAGACUGAACUAACUUAGGGAAACCGGAGCUAAUGCCGCGUCCUCUUUUGAACCGCAUGGUUCAAAAGUGAAAGACGGUCUUGCAGUCACUUAUAGCUGGAUCCGCGCUGCAUUAGCUAGUUGGUAAGGUAACGGAUUACCAAGGCAACGAUGCAUAGCCGACCUGAGAGGGGGAUCGCCGACACGGGAACUGAGACGCGGUCACGACGCCUACGGGAGGCAGCAGAAGGGAACCGGACGCAAUGGGCGAAAGCCUGACGGAGCAACGCCGCGUGUGUGAUGAAGGCCCCCGGAUCGUAAAGCUCGGUUAUUGGGGAAGAACAUAUUUGUACGGAACUGAGCCCAACUUGACGGUACCUAAACAGAAGGCAACGGCUAACUACGUG
rnacentral:rRNA from 1 species